rnacentral:misc_RNA from 1 species
GAUGAAGAACGUAGCGAAAUGCGAUACGUAAUGUGAAUUGCAGAAUUCAGUGAAUCAUCGAAUCUUUGAACGCAUAUUGCGCUCUCUGGUAUUCCGGAGAGCAUGCUUGUUUGAGUAUCAGUAAACACCUCAACUUCCAUAUCUUUUUUGAAAUGGGAGUUGGACUUGAGUGAUCCCAACGCUUUUCCUCACCGAAAAGUGGCGGGUUACUUGAAAUGCAGGUGCAGCUGGACUUUUCUCUGAGCUAUAAGCAUAUCUAUUUAGUCUGCCUAAAAAACAGAUUAUUACCUUUGCUGCAGCUAACAUAAAGGAGAUUAGUUCUUGUGCUGACUGAUGCAGGAUUCACAAAGACAGGCUUCGGCCGACUUUGUAAACUUGAUCUCAAAUCAAGUAAGACUACCCGCUGAACUUAAGCAUAUCAAUAAGCGGAGGA